rnacentral:rRNA from 1 species
UACGUAGGGGGCUAGCGUUGUCCGGAUUUAUUGGGCGUAAAGAGCGUGUAGGCGGCCAGGUAGGUCUGCUGUGAAAACUCGAGGCUUAACCUCGAGAUGUCAUCGGAAACUAUUCGGCUAGAGUCCGGAAGAGGAGAGUGGAAUUCCUGGUGUAGCGGUGAAAUGCGCAGAUAUCAGGAAGAACACCUAUGGCGAAAGCAGCUCUCUGGGACGGUACUGACGCUGAGACGCGAAAGCGUGGGGAGCGAACAGG